rnacentral:rRNA from 1 species
UCAGGACGAACGCUGGCGGCGUGCCUAAUACAUGCAAGUCGAGCGGAUUUUACCUUCGGGUAANGUUAGCGGCGGACGGGUGAGUAACACGUGGGUAACCUGCCCAUAAGACUGGGAUAACAUUCGGAAACGAAUGCUAAUACCGGAUACGCGAAGCGGUCGCAUGAUCGAAUCGGGAAAGGCGGAGCAAUCUGCCACUUAUGGAUGGACCCGCGGCGCAUUAGCUAGUUGGUGGGGUAACGGCUCACCAAGGCGACGAUGCGUAGCCGACCUGAGAGGGUGAUCGGCCACACUGGGACUGAGACACGGCCCAGACUCCUACGGGAGGCAGCAGUAGGGAAUCUUCCGCAAUGGACGAAAGUCUGACGGAGCAACGCCGCGUGAGUGAUGAAGGUUUUCGGAUCGUAAAGCUCUGUUGCCAGGGAAGAACGCUUGCGAGAGUAACUGCUCGCAAGGUGACGGUA